AUACGAAAGGUGCAAGCGUUGUUCGGAUUUACUGGGCGUAAAGCGCGCGUAGGCGGUUUGGAAAGUCAGAUGUGAAAUCCCAGGGCUCAACCCUGGAACUGCAUUUGAAACUAUCAGACUAGAGAUUGGGAGAGGUAAGUGGAAUUCCGAGUGUAGAGGUGAAAUUCGUAGAUAUUCGGAGGAACACCAGAGGCGAAGGCGACUUACUGGACCAAUACUGACGCUGGGGUGCGAAAGCGUGGGGAGCAAACAGGAUUAGAAACCCUAGUAGUCC
rnacentral:rRNA from 1 species